AGUUAAAAUAAAAUUCUGUUAAAACUUGGAAAUUGAUCAAAGAGUAAGUGAUACACAUUCAUAUACGCAAAAGUAAGACGUGCGGCAAGCACUAUUUACUCAAUGCAGAAUAAUCGUCGUUUAAUAAUUGAAAAAAAAUGAAAACUAGAGUGUAACAUGAAUUUUUUAUUCAAAUCAGGACGAAAUCUCCGAUUAAACUCAAAAUUUAUUAUUCCGGCCAAACGUUCCAAAUUCUCCCACGAGAAUUCAUGCGUAUCUACUCAGUCCGUUAUCUUUUUUCUUUUUUUCUUCUUUCCUUUUUUUUCCACAGGCCCGAGUUACAGACCCGAAUCGGCUCCACGCCUUUUUCUUGUUCGAAAGUUGGGGCACUUUAUAUAGGUACGUACGCGCGGGAAGAAUGGAUUGAAUCGGAGCGCGAGUAGAGCAUUUAGAGAGAUCGGGGUGGAAAAUGAGGAAGCGUGCGAGACAGGCGGUAGAAGGAGGAGGAGCAGAAGGAGAAGAAGAGGGACGGAGGAUGCAGCGCGGUCAGAGAGGAAGAGGAAACGUCGUAGGUGUCGGUCGAGACGAGCGGCUCGACGGACGGAUUUCGAGACGGAAUCCUCGACGCGAACGAGCCUCCACGAGUAAGACGAGGCCGUAAGUAGGACGCCUGAAAACGAGCCAGUCUUCUGACCCGGUUAUCGCUGACUCCGACUGACGACGAGUUUCACUACAGGCCUCGUCGCUUAGGAUGAACGUGGCAGAAAACGAAGAGAUUUAUGUGAGCGACGUCUCGUUUACAGCGACAGUACGCUGGAAAUUAUUGUGUAACGUACCGCACGUUCCUCCGUCUCCACGAUAAGAUGAUUGUUCUUGAGCGUAAGGGUGAUGAUGUUCCCGUUCGCGUUCUUGCUGGUAUGAUUACCGGAAGUGGUGGUAGUGGUGUAUU